rnacentral:ncRNA from 2 species
AUUUAAUAUUUAAGCACAGGUGCCGAUACAAUAUUUCGGUUAAAAGGGAAGCAGGUAAAAAUCCUGCACGGUCCCGCCACUGUGUUGGUGAGGUGCUGUAAAUUUGCCACUGAAUUUUUCGGGAAGGCCUACAGUAUCCAUGAACCUAAGUCAGAAGACCUGCCUGUGCCAAACAUCUUAC